GUGGGGAAUAUUGGACAAUGGGCGCAAGCCUGAUCCAGCCAUGCCGCGUGAGUGAUGAAGGCCCUAGGGUUGUAAAGCUCUUUCACCGGAGAAGAUAAUGACGGUAUCCGGAGAAGAAGCCCCGGCUAACUUCGUGCCAGCAGCCGCGGUAAUACGAAGGGGGCUAGCGUUGUUCGGAAUUACUGGGCGUAAAGCGCACGUAGGUGGACAUUUAAGUCAGGGGUGAAAUCCCGGAGCUCAACUCCGGAACUGCCUUUGAUACUGGGUGUCUGGAGUAUGGAAGAGGUGAGUGGAAUUCCGAGUGUAGAGGUGAAAUUCGUAGAUAUUCGGAGGAACACCAGUGGCGAAGGCGGCUCACUGGUCCAUUACUGACGCUGAGGUGCGAAAGCGUGGGGAGCAAACAGGAUUAGAAACCCUUGUAGUCC
rnacentral:rRNA from 1 species